UUCCGAUGGUGACGUUCGCCAAGGAGAAGGUGGAGGUGGCGGACGACGAGAAGAAGGUGGUGUCGUACAGCGUGGUGGACGGCGAGCUGGUGAGCUUCUACAAGAACUUCAGGGUGACGGUGCAGGUGACCGACAAGGGCGCCGACGGCGCCGGCGCGGUGGUGAACUGGACCAUGGACUUCGACAAGGCCAGCGACGAGGUGCCCGAGCCGGACGUCAUCAAGGAGACCGCCGCCAAGACCUUCCACGACCUCGACGACUACCUCCUCAAGAACUAGCAGCUCUUAGCUGCCUCGUC
rnacentral:lncRNA from 1 species